rnacentral:misc_RNA from 1 species
GUAGGAGCUGGCUUGCUAGCGAUGCAGACGCUGCGGUUUGUCUGAUACACCGCGUCAAUCCAAUCGCUAGCAAGCCAGCUCCUAC